ensembl:lncRNA
AUGGCAAAAUCGGACGGACUUCUUUUCAAAUACAGAUCUCCGAUGUCCCCCUACAGUCUGCAGUUGCACGGCUGGUGGUGUGGCACAGACGGAGCAAGGGUUACAUCAAGGCUGUUCUCUGGACCGUGCAAACAGUCUAGACCAAUGACCUGCAGCAUCGUGCCCUUUGAAGAAGAGGCAAGUUCAGUCACGACGAAGAAAAAUCAAGGCGUACCCCUUUUAACAAUAGGGAGCAGCUCGUGGCUGCAAAGAGGUGUACAGCUGCCAUUCCAGGUGUGCAGCUGCCAUUCCAUCUCCCUGCAGGACUGUGUUUGCUGCUCCACAAGCUGCAGAGCAAGAGAAGCCAACUUGAGGAGCAUGCAUAUUGUGAUACCCUCAGUGAAGCUUUCACAGUUCCAGAAGUUUUAGUUACUGCUGCUACUUGGAAUGAGCACAAGGGAAGAAUGUUGCACCUGCCACCUUCUUACUGACUCUUCUUCUAGCAUUGCAGAGGUACUCAUAACUAUAAUUUUGAGUUGGUUCUGAAAAAAAAUGAAGGAUGUCAUCUACUAGUCUGAGGGUCUUGGACUAUUGGCCAGGCUGCUAAAUGAUGAGAAGGUUUUUUAGGAUGUCCUGUGUAAUAUUGCCUUUCCACAUAUUUUCUUUACUUGCUUCCACAGAUGUGACUUGUAGGCUCCCUUUUUAAGUGAGAGUCUAAUCCUUAGCAAUUAUCUUAGGGAAAUAUUGGCAUUGAGUAAAUCAAAUGGAUUUCUGUAUUUUUCCUCUUAGUUGGACUCUUUCAUACAGCAGUUGCUUUUUUCAUUUAAAUCUUUCUUUCUUGACUAAGCAGAAUCUAAAAUCUCUUUUUUGGUGUGUAAAUGCCGGAACAAUUUGCAGAAGACUUAGGCAGAAAACUGGCCACUGAGAUCAAAUAAUUUUUAAUAUAAAACUUAACAUAUUGUCUGAACUUAAGUUUUUGGAUUAGCUUCUUUGUCUGACACCUUUUAAGUUCUUACAAAGGCAUUGAUGGAUUCAGUGAGGGAUGCACAAAGCAACCUCUGUAGCAAAUUGCCCUGUGUGUUUGAUUUUUCUGGAAUAAGAUAGUAAGUUUCUGUGGUCCUGGUGCUGCUAAACAAGAGUGCUCUGGCUUUAACAUUUUCAUGCCUCUGAGACAAAGGGUCCAGAUCAGGUCAUUGCAUCUGGUCUGUGAAUGGGGACUUCUUGAGGAUGCAAUGAAAUGGGUGACAAUCAAUAAGAAGGAUAUUAAUAACAUCAUAGUGAAAUGCUGAUUUCAUCAAUGCUGCUAGUACAUCUGACCUUUAUCUUUUAAUGCAUAUACAUUGUGAGGGCUAUGAUAUAUUAUAAAUGUUCUAUUGUGGCACAAAUACUUCAAAUUUUUUCUUCCAGUGACAGUUUUACAAGCAUAUAUUUACUAACACAUAUACAGUCAUUUAAUAUUAAACCACAUUUAAAUCACUGCUUGCCCAGGAGGUAGGAUUUUAGCACUGAACCAUUAUGUUUGGGUAUUUUUUUGGCAAAAUGCCAUUUGACAUGAAAUUUAGAAAGGUCUAAAAGAAUAAAGACAUUCAGAUGUGAAAAUGUGCA